GGAAGGGUGGCAGAGUGGUCGAUUGCACUGGUCUUGAAAACCAGCGACGGGCGACCGUCCGUGGGUUCGAAUCCCACCCCUUCCGCCA
rnacentral:tRNA from 1 species